AUACCAAAAUGAAACGGAAGUGUUAAAGGUGAUACAAACAGGUGAAGGGGUUAACGAUGAGUGGAGGUCGAGUUUUCUUUGCUUCCUCCGCCUCCUUCCUUCUAUUUUAUCUUCUAUUUAUUACGGGAUUCAGUUCAAUGUUUAUGUGAACAGAUCAAUUGAUUGAUUAAUUUUAUGAAGAACCCAUAUGAAUUCAUUGUGGUGAUGAUUUGGUCGUGAAAUCAGUAGCAAGGAAAAAGGGGUUGUGAUUGAUGAUUUAAUAGAUGAAUGACUUGGAUGUUGAAGUCUUUAAAGUCCCAGAUUGAUUAGGGUUGAUGGGUUGUGUACGGAUUCAUGUUUUCAAGGGGAGAUUAAGCUAUCAAAGGGGUUCCAUAUCAUCAACUCAUCAUUUCGUUAUCCGUAUUAUGCUCCCAAGCUGUUCGAGAAAAGUCCACAAACAGCAGCUAGACUCCUCAAUCACAACCACGCCAUGCCAAGACUUUGAACAGUCUCUGAGUUAUAUUUGUGCAUUCGAUGGUAAUGAAUUUAAUUUCGAUUAAAGGAUGAACUUUAUGGCUUCGUGAACAUGUACAAAUCGAUUUACAUAUGUAAUUUUUACUCUUCGGUCU